CGGCAUUUUAAAGUAGGCUGUGAAUGUGUGUGUGUGUGUGUUUGUGUGUGUGGUGUGGGGGGGUGGGCUGGGCUGGGGGCCGACUUACAGAACCGUGUAGGCUGGAAACCUUCCCUGCUCACACACGCUUACCAUGCAGCCAUGGGGGUGGAGAGAUGCUAUGUAGUUAAACCCAAGGCAGCCUGUGGAUACAACACUUCCAGCGUGACACUCUCAGAGAACGGCAAAAGCUCAGCCUCAAACACACACACACACACACACACACACACACACACACACACACACACACACAUAACAGUAGAUCUCAACAGGAUACUGCAGUUAGUCACAGGCACAUGAAAACUGGAGGAAAUGGAGUGACAAGAAAAAAGGAAGACACAAAUCACGCCGUGUCAUGUGUGCAGAGAAACAGAUUGUUCGCUAUCAGCGGUGAUGGUGCGCGGAGGAAGAAUGCGAGCAUGCAGCGAAGUCAAACAAAAGUGCCUCAGAUGAAUAUUCCUGAAACAGAACAGGAUGGACUUGCUAAAACCAAAUCACGCACUCAUCCUGCACCGACGGAGGGGGAAGUCGGGGACCCCGCACAUGCAGGCAGCGCUCAACCAUCAGGAAAUACUCUUUUCACCCAGACAGAGGUUAUUCAGACAGGCUCAAUCUUUUCAGAUCGUGUGAUGCUCCAUGUCUUCAUUCCAAUUUAGGCGCUGGGGACGGCUCAAGUGGACGAGCGCUGCCAGCAGCUUGUUAGGGUGCUCAUAAGGUGCUCAGUAGUCAGUGUAGAUCCUGUGUUGUAAUCAGCAGCUACAUCUGGCUACUGGGUCUCUGAUGGCAUUUUCUGCUUCCUGUUGGCACAUUCCUUUCAGAUUGUGUGGUAUGUUAUCACAAUGUGUGCCUCAUCCUGUCAGAAUAGGACUCGCUCUUUCAUGGACGUUAAAGAGGGCUCGUCACAACAGCCUGUCUCUUCGACCAGAGCGAUUUGGUGGUGCUUUUACACAUUUUUAGCCUAGUUUAAUGUGGGUUUUUCUUCUUUUUUGUAUUCAAAAAAUUUGAUCAAGGUGAGUGAAGUGUCAAAGUGCAGCUAAAAGUCUCGGGAACCCAUUUCAGACUGCUUUGAAAGAAAGGAUUGAGACAUUGUUUCUUUUUUGACUUCUGAAGAUUCAGUUUAAGUGAUUAGGUAACAAAGGACAAGGCGACAUGUCACAUUCUCUUUGUGAUUUGCCUGUCACAAGGGGCUGUCUUUGUGCAAAUGUUUUUGAGUUGUUGAAGGCUGACAAAUAAUGAGAGUUAAACGCGCAGACAUGCUGAAUCGCAUUGGUUUUGGAGAGCGAAGGAUGAAUUCUUUUGUGCUGUCGUGAACCUGGCAUACAAUGUAGAUUUCUGUGUGGUAAAAUCUACAGCUACAUUGUCUGCUGGGUUUCAGGCCAGCAGAAAAAGCCUGCUCUGCUCAGAAAUUGAAAAGGUGAGUCGUUUAAUCGUUAUGCAUGCUUGAAAGAGAUUUAUCCUACUAUG
ensembl:lncRNA